GGGCGCAUAGCUCAGCUGGGAGAGCACCUGCCUUACAAGCAGGGGGUCAUAGGUUCAAGUCCUAUUGCGCCCACCA
rnacentral:tRNA from 3 species